rnacentral:rRNA from 1 species
UACGGGGGGAGCAAGCGUUGUUCGGAUUUACUGGGCGUAAAGGGCGCGUAGGCGGUCAGCACAAGUCAGUUGUGAAAUCUCCGGGCUUAACUCGGAACGGUCAACUGAUACUGUGCGACUAGAGUGCAGAAGGGGCAACUGGAAUUCUCGGUGUAGCGGUGAAAUGCGUAGAUAUCGAGAGGAACACCUGCGGUGAAGACGGGUUGCUGGGCUGACGCGACGCUGAGGCGCGAAAGCUAGGGUAGCAAACGGG